UUCACCUCUCACCCCGCCAUCCACACGUGGCUCUUCUUUGUCAGUUCCAAUAACAAACAAUUAAAACCCUAAUCCCAAUUAAAGCCCUAAACCCUUGAGCGCACACUAUAAAACCAUCUUAAGCCACAAUUGAACAAUGAUUGCAGUUAAAUAUGCUCAGAAUUUGCUCUUUAGAUGGAUCAAUUUCUUGAACAUCUGGAAAUAUCUGAAUUUGAGGUAAUAGAAUGACUGAAAUAGCAAGUGAUUAGUAGUUAAAGUUUCUUCGCAAAUGCAUGAACUAGUUGCUUGAUUCUUCAAGUUACAGGCUUUCAAGGAAUUAACGAGAAAAGCGUAUCAUAAGCUGCAAUUUAAACCAAAAAAUUUGCAGGCAAAUCUCAUAACUACCUGUGCGGUUUAUUUGUGAUUAUGUUCCAGCGCAGAGAAUAUAUUAGCUUUAAACAAAAAGCAAGUUUAUUCUUUUUGAAAUGUUUUCACAAUCGUUUUGGUCUUUCUGUGUUUAAGCCUUUUGAAAAGCAAAAGCAAAGAUAUGACUUUCUUUGAAUCCGAAUAUUGGCGUGGAAUCGCAUCUCGUUUUAUUGGUAUUCAAGGUUCUCUGAUUUUUGAGAAAGAAAAGGUUCUCUGAUUGCUUUGCUUUCCUAGUUUUAUGCUUUCAUUUGUUUAGAUCUGAAAUUUUGAAUUGGG